rnacentral:lncRNA from 1 species
GUUGUUUUUUUUCUGAAAUUUAUUUUCUUCUCACCAUUGAAAAGAUGAAGAAAACUAAUUUCUGACUGUUUUGGGAUUGUCAGAAUUUGCCUUCAAGGAUAAAUCUUCAAGUUUUACUCAUAGGCCAGUGUUGCUUUCCGUACAUCCCAUGCCCCCGCAAGACGCCUACUACAACAGUCCAGGAAUACUCUGGCAUACGUCCUGUUGACUGGCCUGUGCUUCUUUCUGAAGAUAGAUCUUUGGUAUGAAAACAGAUGCCUGGUUUUCUUCUUUUACAGGAUGCUUUAGCAACAGAGACAGAUGCUGGCGGUAUGGCAGUAGAGGUCGAACCUUCCCACCAAUAUCCUGUUACAUUUUGUUGCCACGUGACUGAUGACAGCAGUGGGGCAACCUGACAAUAUGACGUCAGACAUAGAAUUGCGUAUGAAACAAAGGAAUUGAAUUCUUCCAAGUGGAAAAAAAUACACUCAUUAACAUUCACUAACACUUGAUGAACAGUGUUAGAGAGUGAAGAGUGGAUGUGAGCACUGUAAGGUGGUAAGUAAGUGAUGCGUUUCAGCAUUGGCGACAGCGAUGUGAAAGACAAGAUGUUCUGGAUGGUCACGCACAGCUGUCACACUACAAAAUGAAGAGUAUCUCAUUCAGUUCAUCCAUGUGAAUCACCAGAUUAUGACCAGGGAGCUUUGUGUGGAGCUUCAAUGUGUUGGAAAUGAAGGUGGCAACGUUGGAAUAUCCCACAGUUUUUGCCAGAUGUACAAAACAAACUGGGAAACCUACUAUUAAGUUGUGCUACCAUGAAACAGUUCAGAAAUAAGGAAGAUGAUUUCUGAGAACCAAGGAAUUGCUAAAGACUCCUAUUUCAUUACAGAGUGUAAAGCUGUGGACAUUCAGUGCUUUUAUUUUAAUUUCCACUCUGAUAAGUGAAUCAGAGUUGUGAUGUGACAGUAACCGAUGGACAAUGAUCAUUCAGCCAAAUGCAAAUACUAGAAUUUUUAAAUGAUUGCCCUCACACCGCAUUGAAAGACUCAUCUCCUGGAUCAUAUUCCCUCCCACGAUACAACAUAUCCUUCAUUUCAUGUCUCUGAAGCGUAAGUCCUGACUUCAAUCUUAAGUAAAAUUUUUAAAAGCAGACAACCUCAGAUGAAACCACGUUUUCCAACCUUGUACGGCAUAGACACAGCUUCACAGGUACUUGUUCACCAAUUAACUCACUGUUUAUGUGCUGUUACAUUGAAUUUGCAGCACUGUUCAUCAUAGCAUUGUUCACGAUAUGCACAGAAAGAAUGAUAAUGAGCUGUAUCUCCUUUCUAGUAUAUUUUAGGCUCUACUGGUGAUAAAAUCCAUG